CCCUGUAUAAAAAGUGACAAUGGCAUGAUUGUUGCCAUUGUCAUUGAUAGUACAGGAACCAUGACUGAGAUUUUCCCAUGUUUGUUGGAAUACCAGUACCUGUCAAACCCUGUAUCUUUAAAAUA